CCGUGGCCAUUUUGGCUGAAG
rnacentral:sRNA from 1 species